GAUGAACGCUGGCGGCGUGCCUAAUACAUGCAAGUCGAGCGAACGGACGAUAAGCUUGCUUCUCUUAUGUUAGCGGCGGACGGGUGAGUAACACGUGGAUAACCUACCUCUAAUACUGGGAUAACUUCGGGAAACCGCAGCUAAUACCGGAUAAUAUUUUGUACCGCAUGGUUCAAAAGUAAAAGACGCUCUUGCUGUCUCUUAUAGAUGGAUCCGCGCUGCAUUAGCUAGUUGGUAAGGUAACGGCUUACCAAGGCAACGAUGCAUAGCCGACCUGAGAGGGUGAUCGGCCACACUGGAACUGAGACACGGUCCAGACUCCUACGGGAGGCAGCAGUAGGGAAUCUUCCGCAAUGGGCGAAAGCCUGACGGAGCAACGCCGCGUGAGUGAUGAAGGUCUUCGGAUCGUAAAACUCUGUUAUUAGGGAAGAACAUAUGUGUAAGUAACUGUGCACAUCUUGACGGUACCUAAUCAGAAAGCCACGGCUAACUACGUG
rnacentral:rRNA from 1 species